GAGUCUGUAGCUUAGUGGUUAGAGAACUCGCCUCGUAAGCGAGAGGACCCAGGUUCGAUUCCUGGGCAGAAUUA